rnacentral:rRNA from 1 species
AAUGGGGGAAACCCUGAUGCAGCGAUGCCGCGUGAGUGAAGUUGGCCUUUGGGUUGUAAAGCUCUUUCGUCGGGGAAGAAAAUGACUGUACCCGAAUAAGAAGGUCCGGCUAACUUCGUGCCAGCAGCCGCGGUAAUACGAAGGGACCUAGCGUAGUUCGGAAUUACUGGGCUUAAAGAGUUCGUAGGUGGUUAAAAAAGUUGGUGGUGAAAUCCCAGAGCUUAACUCUGGAACUGCCAUCAAAACUUUUUAGCUAGAGUAUGAUAGAGGAAAGCAGAAUUUCUAGUGUAGAGGUGAAAUUCGUAGAUAUUAGAAAGAAUACCGAUUGCGAAGGCAGCUUUCUGGAUCAUUACUGACACUGAGGAACGAAAGCAUGGGUAGCGAAGAGGAUUAGAUACCCUCGUAGUCCAUGCCGUAAACGAUGUGUGUUAGACGUUGGAAAUUUAUUUUCUGUGUCGCAGCGAAAGCAAUAAACACACCGCCUGGGGAGUACGACCGCAAGGUUAAAACUCAAAUGAAUUGACGGGGACCCGCACAAGUAGUGGAGCAUGUGGUUUAAUUCGAAGAUACGCGCAGAACCUUACCAACACUUGACAUGUUCGUCGCGACUUUAAGAGAUUAAAGUUUUCGGUUCGGCCGGACGAAACACAGGUGCUGCAUGGCUGUCGUCAGCUCGUGUCGUGAGAUGUUGGGUUAAGUCCCGCAACGAGCGCAACCCUCACUUUUAGUUGCCAUCAUUUAGUUGGGCACUCUGAAAGAACUGCCAGUGAUAAGCUGGAGGAAGGUGGGGAUGACGUCAAGUCCUCAUGGCCCUUACGUGUUGGGCUACACACGUGCUACAAUGGCAUUU